UACGUAGGUGGCGAGCGUUGUCCGGAUUUACUGGGCGUAAAGAGCGCGCAGGCGGUCGUACAAGUCGCGUGUGAAAGCCCCCGGCUCAACUGGGGAGGGUCACGCGAUACUGUUCGACUCGAAGGCAGGAGAGGGUAGUGGAAUUCCCGGUGUAGUGGUGAAAUGCGUAGAUAUCGGGAGGAACACCAGUGGCGAAGGCGACUUCCUGGCCUGUUCUUGACGCUGAGGCGCGAAAGCUAGGGGAGCAAACGGG
rnacentral:rRNA from 1 species